UCUACGGGAGGCAGCAGUGAGGAAUAUUGGUCAAUGGGCGCGAGCCUGAACCAGCCAAGUAGCGUGAAGGAUGACUGCCCUACGGGUUGUAAACUUCUUUUAUAAAGGAAUAAAGUGAGGCACGUGUGCCUUUUUGUAUGUACUUUAUGAAUAAGGAUCGGCUAACUCCGUGCCAGCAGCCGCGGUAAUACGGAGGAUCCGGGCGUUAUCCGGAUUUAUUGGGUUUAAAGGGAGCGUCGAUGGGUUGUUAAGUCAGUUGUGAAAGUUUGCGGCUCAACCGUAAAAUUGCAAUUGAUACUGGCAGUCUGGAGUACAGUUGAGGUAGGCGGAAUUCGGGGGGUAGCUGU
rnacentral:rRNA from 1 species